GAUGAACGCUGGCGGCGUGCUUAACACAUGCAAGUCGAACGAAGCAUUCCAUUUGAAAGUGAACCAGCUUGCUGGGGAACAAUCUCCCGGAAUGACUUAGUGGCGGACGGGUGAGUACCGCGUGGGUAACCUGCCUUAUACAGGGGGAUAACAGUUAGAAAUGACUGCUAAUACCGCAUAACUCGAUAGUAUCGAAUGGUACAGUCGGAACAGAUUUUAUCGGUAUAAGAUGGACCCGCGUCUGAUUAGCUAGUUGGUGGGGUAACGGCCCACCAAGGCGACGAUCAGUAGCCGACUUGAGAGAGUGAUCGGCCACAUUGGGACUGAGACACGGCCCAAACUCCUACGGGAGGCAGCAGUGGGGAAUAUUGCACAAUGGGCGCAAGCCUGAUGCAGCGACGCCGCGUGAGCGAUGAAGUAUUUCGGUAUGUAAAGCUCUAUCAGCAGGGAAGAUAAUGACGGUACCGGAAUAAGAAGCACCGGCUAACUACGUGCCAGCCGCCGCCGUAAGAC
rnacentral:rRNA from 1 species